rnacentral:rRNA from 1 species
GGCUCAGUAACACGUGGAUAACCUGCCCUCAGGUGGGGGAUAAUCUCGGGAAACUGAGGCUAAUACCCCAUAGGUCAUGGUCGCUGGAAUGCUCCAUGACUGAAAGCUUCGGCGCCUGAGGAUGGGUCUGCGGCCUAUCAGGUAGUAGUUGGGGUAACGGCCCAACUAGCCUAAAACGGGUACGGGCCCUGAGCGGGGGAGCCCGGAGAUGGACUCUGAGACACGAGUCCAGGCCCUACGGGGCGCAGCAGUCGCGAAAACUUCACACUGCGGGAAACCGUGAUGAGGGAACCCCAAGUGCCCAGGCGUUAGUCUGGGCUGUUCACAUGCCUAAAAAGCAUUUGAAGUAAGGGCUGGGUAAGACCGGUGCCAGCCGCCGCGGUAAUACCGGCAGCCCAAGUGGUGACCCCUAUUAUUGAGCCUAAAACGUCCGUAGCCGGCCCGGCAAAUCUCUGGACAAAUCGGGCAGCUCAACUGUUCGACUUCUAGAGAGACUACCGGGCUUGGGACCGGGAGAGGCCAGAGGUACGUCGGGGGUAGGGGUAAAAUCCUUUAAUCCUCGACGGACCACCGGUGGCGAAGGCGUCUGGCUAGAACGGAUCCGACGGUAAGGGACAAAGGCCAGGGGCGCAAACCGGAUUAGAUACCCGGGUAGUCCUGGCUGUAAACGCUGCAGGCUUGGUGUUGGGACUCCUUCGAGGGGUCUCAGUGCCGUAGCGAAGGUGUUAAGCCUGCUGCUUGGGGAGUACGGCCGCAAGGCUGAAACUUAAAGGAAUUGGCGGGGGAGCACAGCAACGGGAGGAGCGUGCGGUUCAAUUGGAUUCAACGCCGGAAAACUCACCAGGGGCGACUGGUACAUGAAGGCCAGGCUGAUGACCUUGCCUGAUUUCCAGAGAGGUGGUGCAUGGCCGUCGUCAGUUCGUACCGCAAGGCGUUCUCUUAAGUGAGAUAACGAACGAGACCCUCACCCCUAUUUGCCACUCGUCUCUCUGGAGAUGGAGCACUAUAGGGGGACCGCUGGCGCUAAGUCAGAGGAAGGAGAGGUCAACGGUAGGUCAGUAUGCCCCGAAUCCCCUGGGCUACACGCGCGCUACAAAGGACGGGACAAUGGGCUGCAACCCCGAGAGGGGGAGCCAAUCCCGAAACCCGUUCGUAGUCCGGACUGAGGGUUGUAACUCACCCUCACGAAGCUGGAUUCCGUAGUAAUCGCGGGUCAACAUCCCGCGGUGAAUGUGCCCCUGCUCCUUGCACACACCGCCCGUCAAACCAUCCGAGUUGGGCCCGGAUGAGGGUACCUCAUCAGGGGUGCUCGAAUCUGGGUUCAGCGAGGGGGGUUAAGUCGUAACAAGGUAACC